UGGGAACUUUGGAGCUUCUUGGAUCUGGAUGUUCAUAUCUCUUCCAAAACUUGGGAAGUUUUCAGCAAUUAUUUCAUUAUAUACACUUUCUGCACAUUUAUCUCUUCUCCCUGUAGAGCUCCCAUAAUGCAAAAGUUUGUUUGCUUAAUGAUAUCCCAUAUGUCCCAUUGGCUGUCUUCACACUUUUUGUUUUUUGUUUUUGUUUUUCCUUCUCAUUGGGUAAUUUCAUAAGACCUAUCUUCAAAUGCAGAGUUACUUCCUUGUGCUUGAUGUAGUCUGCUGUUGAAGCUUUCUAUUAUAUUUUUUAUUUAUUCACUCAGUAGUUCUUCAGCUUCAAGAUUUCUGUUUUGUUCUUUGUUGAAUGUCUCAUUAAGAUGAUGAAUUGCUUUCCUGAUUUUGCUGAAUUGUCUAUCUGUAUUCUCUCAGAUCUAUCUGAGUUUCCUUAAGAUUAUUAUUUUAAAUUCCUUUUCAGGCAACUCAUAAACUUCCUUUUCCUUGGGGUCAGUUACUGGCACCUUGUCUUUUAUUGGUGUCAUGUUUCUUGCUUUUUAAUGUUUCUUAUGUCCCCGAAUUGAUGUCUGUGCAUCUGGUGGAACAGCACCUCUUCCAAACUUUAGAGAGUGCCUUUAGUAGGGAAAGAUUUUGACUCUGGAAGGCAUGGCAUAGCAAUGACCCAGCUAAAGGUUAAGACCCAGAAAAAAGGUACAGCUGCAAUUUGGGAAACAGAGCCAAUAGGGCACCAUUGCAACUUAGGCCCCAGGACACAAGGGACUGCACAGUGGGGAUUCUGGACCUGGGGAUAGUGGGACAUGGCAGUAUCCCAGAUUCUGUGAAGCCACGUGAGACAGCAGCAAGGACCCUGGAAUAGCAGAGGGCAGAUGUCACUUGGGGCCUGGAAGGAAGGGAGUAGUGCAGCAAUGAUUCCAUUCCUUGGGGAUGGGAGUAUCUCAGCAGCUCACACUCUAAUGGACUAGUCCAGUUCCAGGAAAGCAGGGUACUACAAUUAUUCAACGUGUAGGGUAAGGUGACCCAGCUCAGUCAGUGCUCUGUUUAUCUAAGACGUAAAAUACUAUGCCAUCUCAUCCCUGAGAUGUGCAACUGAUUUGGCUUGGCCAUGACACUGAUUUCCUGGAGGCAAGGUGCUGCUUCCAUUCAGGAAUGGGGGUGCACCCAGGAAUGGGGGUGCAUGACUGCUCUGAGCAGCCAAGUAACCAAUUCUUUAGGAGGCUGAGUGCCAUUUCAGCUCAAUCCUUAAUGGGGCAGGGCCAAAAGCAACUUGGAGGGGUGGGUGGAGCAUCUCCAUUGCAGCUUGGCCCCAAGAAAUAGGAUGGAGCAGCAGCUCAGCUUGUGGAUGGUGCGCAACCAUGUGGAGGCGGUUCAACAGCAACAAAGCUGGAGGAAUGGAAGGGUACUGUGACUACCUACCCCCAGAACAGGACACAUUCCAACAGUGUUUCUGAUUUCAAAUGCAGUAGCCACGUGGGCCACUGUGGUGAGUAUUGUCUCCUCCUCUGUGGGGAGUGUAGCUGUAUGGAUUCUAAGGAGUUCCCUCAGCUGGGCUUAGUGCCUGUGAGAACUACAGGCCUCCCCAGAGGUGAGGACUGUAGGUGCCUAAGGUCGUGAUGGGGGCUGCUGUGGUCCUCUUCCUUACCUUUUCCCUGCAAGAAGAAUUUUCUCCUGCUUCCAACUGAUCCUGAUGUGGGGAUAGCGUGGUGGAGGUGAGGUAUUUCCUUCUGUUGUCUAUGUGGCCACCCUGGGUUUCUGCACAUUGCAGAGUUUCUAAUACACCUUUAAUGUAUUCUAACAUUCUCCUUUAGUUAUUUUCAUCAAAAUGUAGUUGCUUACUUAUUGUUUUGGCUAUCUUUGGGAGGGAUGUGGUGAGUAUUGGGAGCUUCUAGUUAGGUUAUCUUACUGAUGUCAUAAAAUAGUGGAUUUCAAAUGCUUUCACCAGGUGGUCUCUGUGCGGGUGUCAGUUGGAGGUCUCACUGGGCAGGUGGCCUGCGCUCACAGAGGCGGCAUCCCGGAGAUGGUGGCAGAGGGAGAUAAUCGCAGCACCAACCUGCUGGCUGCAGAGACUGCAAGUCUGGAAGAACAUGCAAGGAUGGGGAGAAGUGAUGCUGAUGGCUGAUAAAGUCCUCCGAUGGGAAAGAGCCUGGUUUCCACCCGCCAUCUUCUGUGUGGUUUCUUUGGUGUUUCUGAUUAUCUACUAUCUAGAUCCAUCUGUUCUGUCCGGCGUUUCCUGUUUUGUUAUGUUUUUGUACUUCGCUGAUUACCUUGUUCCCAUUGUAGCACCUAGAAUUUUUGGCUCCAAUAAAUGGACCACUGAACAACAGGAAAAAUUCCAUGACAUUUGUAGCAAUUUAGUAAAAACUCGACACAGAACUGUGGGUUGGUGGAAAUGCCUCUUCACACUAAAGGAAGAAAAACCUAAGAUGUACUUCAUGACCAUGAUCGUUUCUCUUGCUACGGUUGCUUGGGUGGACAACAAGUCCACAAUCACUUCCUUACUAUUGCUUCCUGGACUAAACCAACAUGGAAUCAUUUUGAAGUACAUUGGAAUGGCCAAGAGGGCAAUAAACAAACUUCUUGAACAAAAAGAAAAGAAAAAUGAAUGAUUCAUCUGCUUUAAUCAGUGUGAUUAGUGGAGCAUUGCCCCGGAACGGUUUCUGCUGUACUAUCUGGAUACCAAAAUGUUACGGAAGUAGCUCUUUGCUCUCCCUCACUCUGCCCUUAGUUAAUAGAAAUUCAGACUCGCCAAGUAGGACUUUGUGCAUAGUGUCUUCAUGUCACAUAUAGUUGAGUGCGUUCUUAGCAGUUGGCUUCAUGGACAACCCUUAGUGUAUGUGAUUUGUUUUGAUUUUUCUUACCCAGUGUUAAUUGAAUUCUUGCUUUUAGACAACUUCCUUUUUGUAGUGGUGAACCUUGCCCUUUAGUACAGUUCAAGUGAAUCUGGAUAAUUGUUCAUCUUUGCUUUAGCUUAGAUACCAUGUAGUGGUCUGUGGCUACAGGAAACUGGUUCUACUGUCUGCUUCCACAAUUUUCUUAAAAAACUAUCUGACUUCACGAAUAUAGAGACCAAGUUUACCGCUUCUGAUGAAGAGACCAAUUAAGAUUCAUUCCUCAUUCUGUUUGUUUCCGGUGGGAGAAGAGUCCCCAUGAAAAAAAUGAAACUGAUUCCAUGCGCUAGUACGUGUAGGCUUCUCCUUUGUGCAAAGCUUAGCAAUUUGUAGGAAACUUUGAUUUUUUGUCCAAGAAAGGAAUGUCUAACAGGCUUUUGUCCCCUUGCACUUAGACUCAAAGUUAGUAAAUCCUUAAAGGCUUUUUAAUAGCAGACUUCCGAAAGAUUGCAUUUAGGAUUUCUAGGCUACUUUUAAUUUCAGAUUUUCAGCUGACUUUAGCUAUAGUAUACAGUAGAUUAAGACUCAUAUCUAUGACUUUCACUCUAAGACCAGCAAAAAGACAGCAGUCUUCUAUGUUUAGUCAAGAUUCAUUUCAGUAGAAGAUAAUCUUAUCUAAUUGUUGAGACCAGAAUAAGCCUUUUAAGGUAAACCUCAAAAUUCUCAUUUUAUGGUAAUAUUGGCCCUUUUAGUUCCCUAGGUUUGACAUGGGAGAUAGUGACUACACUGGUGUCUGACUUUUUUCCUAGAGAUUCCUUCCUGAAAAAUACAAGGGCUGUUGGUGAGAGCAGACUUGAGGUGAUGAUAAUUGGCCUCUGGUCAACAAAGAUUUCAUAACUCCUUGGAAAGCUUCUUAUUAUCAUUCUUAACUUCUUGGUAGCUAGAAAUUUAGAGUAGUUGAAAUCUGUAGGAAUGAACUUCUGAGGGCCAAAACACAUGACUGACUUGGGAACAAUUCUUCAACUGAUUAACUAGUUGUAAUAUAGUUUUGUGAAUUUAUUGCACUGAUGUUGUACCUUGUGGUAUAUCUGUCCCUAUUAAAUAAGUGUUGUUUUCUCCUCUUUAAUAUUACUGUAAAUAGUGGUGACCAUUGUAGCAUAUGUUUGAUUAUUUUCUUUUAACAUUUCAUAAGAAAACUACCUUAAUUUUACCUUACUUUCAUUGUAAAUAAGCCUGUCUUCCUAUCUGGAUUUUUUUGUGUGUGUGUACAUGUUCUACUUAUUAACUACUUUUGCGAUUUUAAUCCUGUAUUUCUUCUUCUACUUUGUUUUGUGUAAAAGGGGAAAAAAUAAAAAAAGCUGGAAUCU